rnacentral:rRNA from 1 species
UAACCUGCCCUGAUGACCGGGACAACCCGAGGAAACUCGGGCUAAUACCGGAUGUGCUCCCGCUACAUCAGUAGUGUGAGUAAAGGUAGCUUCGGCCUCCGCAUCGGGAUGGGCCCGCGGCGCAUUAGCUUGUUGGUGGGGUAAUGGCCUACCAAGGCAACGAUGCGUAGCUGGUCUGAGAGGACGAUCAGCCACACUGGGACUGAGACACGGCCCAG